rnacentral:rRNA from 1 species
UACGGAGGGUGCAAGCGUUGUCCGGAAUCACUGGGCGUAAAGGGCGCGUAGGCGGCUCAUGAAGGCUGUGGUGAAAGUCCGGGGCUCAACCUCGGAUCGGCCGUGGCGACUCGUGGGCUGGAGCACUGUAGAGGCGGGUGGAAUUCCGGGUGUAGCGGUGGAAUGCGCAGAUAUCAGGAAGAACACCCGUGGCGAAGGCGGCUCUCUGGAACGCAACUGACGCUGAGACGCGAAAGCGUGGGGAGCAAAGCAGG